UGUUUUUCAGCUACUAUUUCAAAUUAGUGUUUGGUUUUAUUCUAUUUAACUUCAAAUGUCUCUUUUUAGAUCUUAGAUGUCUUGCAUUUUUAAAGUUUUGUAUAAAAAUCAUUUACUGGUUUAAAAUUUCAUUGUACGAGCAAGAACCUAAAAUUAAAGUUCAGCGGCAAUUAACCAAAUUUCUCCUUAACAAAACUAUUUUCAAUUAAAAGUUAAUAAAGAGACUAUUAUAUUUUAUCAAAGAAAAAUGUGUUAUUGUUUUCAAUAAUGGUAUUAUUGGUGCCAAUGUGUGUGAAACUAUUUCAACAUAAAACUUCAGACCAUCUCAUAGUGGUCUAGUGAUUGUCAGGAUUCGCUAUGUCGAUGUAGGUCCGGGUUUGAGUUUUCCUGCUAUGAUUUCAUGUUUCAACUGUGGAUGGUCGGUCACCCAUAAAUGUUUUUAGUAGCAAUAAAACCCAAAAUUUGUUUUUCUAAUCUCAUGGAUUCGGUAUGGACUUUGGGUUAAGGAUUCCCAUGAUUAGUAUAAAGAGUUAAGGAUUCCCAUGAUUAGUAUAAAACAUAGAAUAUUUUUUCGAUCGUAAAAUAUUCACUAUAAAAAUAUUUUAUCCAUUUUAUAUUUCAUAGUUUAGUCAAGGAAACUAGCUAAAGUUUAUUAAAAAAAAUCUUGCUCAUACUAUAUACUGAAAUAGAAAAGAGAAAAAAAUCAGCCAUGUCACUAGAGGUGUCAAAAUGGGUUGAAAUUAAUGGUUUUAUCCAAACCAACCCAUGGAAUGGAUCCUAAUGGAUCAAAAUUUGGAUGGUAAUGGAUUAAUGGUUUUGAUGGGUUAGUGGAUUUAAUUAGUUUGGGUUAAAAUGGUUUGGGUUUUGAUGGGUCAGUGGAUUAUCCAAUCCAACCCAUUUUUUCACAUUAUGUCAUUCUCUUAUUUUUCUUCUGCGACACAAUCGAUUGACUAUUAACACAUGUUUGGGUCAAUUCGGGCGCUUAAAGAACAGAGUCGAGUACAGCUCAAGACCCGUGCCUCCAAACCUGAUUGCAGCAGAGAAAGAAGAACCUUACAAGGAAAAUGACAAAAGCUAGAUUGAACCUGAAAAGUUUGAUGUUUGAUUUUGCUGACAGGAAGAGAGCUUACCACACUUGAGAUACAAGAUUCUCUCAUUCCUUCCCUCGAACAACUUCAUGAAGAACAUGGUGAUCUUCUCUCUGACCUCGCUGUCAGCUUCCCUGAUCCACCGCCACCACCUGCUGAAGAUAGACGAGUUUCUUCACCUCCACCUCGUGGUCUCACAUAUUCCGCUGCAGAUGUUCGGUACAGUUAAAUCUCCGACGCAGCCACGGGCCACCAUGCUAGGAACCGCCAUUUCUCUGCCUCAUCAUAUCCCUAUACCUCAUUCUCGACACUUCUCCUCUCACUGUCUUUCCCUUGGACUCGUAAGCUCACAAUCCCAUGAUUCAGAAAGCAGAGCUGAGAGUGACAACGAUGAAGCUGUCUCCGGAGAUGAUCUUGAAGCAUGAGAUAAACCUCUGAGGAAGAAGAAACGUUACUAGCGUCACACUGCUAAACAAAUUCAAGACCUCGAAUCGUAAUACUCUUUCUUCUUAAUAAUCGUAAUACUUUUUCUUCUUAACCACACAAAAGCUCCUCUUCUUGUUCCAUCAUUACACGAUUUGAAUCUUUAUUACACGAUAAAUCACUUCAAUUUCAAACGAUAGAUUUUUCUUUUGGGUCUUUGUGAUUGAUUGAAAUCACUUCAAUUCGGCUAAUUUUACAUUCUUGUUGCAUAAUUAAGUUUCUGAGUUUCAAAUUAUUGGAGUAUUUUUAUGGGUCAA